CUACGGGGUGCACCGGUGAGGAAUUUUGCGCAAUGGGGGAAACCCUGACGCAGCAACGCCGCGUGAGCGAAGAAGGCCCUCGGGUCGUAAAGCUCUGUCAAGUGGGAAAAAAAUUCUUUGAUCAAUAGUCAAAGGACUUGAUGGUACCACUGGAGGAAGCACCGGCUAACUCCGUGCCAGCAGCCGCGGUAAUACGGAGGGUGCAAGCGUUGUUCGGAUUUACUGGGCGUAAAGAGCGUGUAGGCGGUUUAGCAAGUCAGAUGUGAAAGCCCUGGGCUCAACCCGGGAAGUGCAUUUGAACUGCUUCACUAGAGUAUGGGAGAGGAGAUUGGAGUUCCUGGUGUAGAGGUGAAAUUCGUAGAUAUCAGGAGGAACACCCGUGGCGAAGGCGAUUCUCUGGACCAAUACUGACGCUGAGACGCGAAAGCGUGGGGAGCAAACAGGAUUAGAUACCCUGGUAGUC
rnacentral:rRNA from 1 species